rnacentral:rRNA from 1 species
CCUACGGGUGGCAGCAGUGGGGGAUAUUGCACAAUGGGGGAAACCCUGAUGCAGCGACGCCGCGUGAGUGAAGAAGUAUCUCGGUAUGUAAAGCUCUAUUAGCAGGGAAGCAAAUGACAGUACUUGACCAAGAAGCCGCGGCUAACUACGGGACAGCAGCCGCGGGAAUACGGCGGGGGCAAGCGUUAUCCGGAUUUACCGGGUGUUAAGGGAGCGUAGACGGUUAUGUAAGUCUGGAGUGAAAGGCCGGGGCCCAACCCCGGGACUGCUUAGGAAACUGUGUGACUGGAGUACAGGAGGGGCAGGCGGAAUGCGUGGUGUAGCGGUGAAAUGCGUAGAUAUCAGGAGGAACACCGGCGGCGAAGGCGGCCUGCUGGACUGAAACUGACGUUGAGGCACGAAAGCGUGGGGAGCGAACAGGAUUAGAUACCCUGGUAGUC